AGCAGCCGCGGUAAUUCCAGCUCCAAUAGCGUAUAUUAAAGUUGUUGCAGUUAAAAAGCUCGUAGUUGAAUUUCGGGAUCAGUACGCUGGUCGUGCCUUUGGUAUGUACUGGUGUCACUGAUUCCUCCCUUCUGAAGAACCGUUAUGCCAUUUAUUUGGUGUGGCGGGGAAUCAGGACUGUUACUUUGAAAAAAUUAGAGUGUUUAAAGCAGGCUCGCGCUUGAAUACAUUAGCAUGGAAUAAUGAAAUAGGACGUUUGAUCUUAUUUUGUUGGUUUCUAGGAUCGACGUAAUGAUUAAUAGGGAUAGUUGGGGGCAUUAGUAUUCAAUUGUCAGAGGUGAAAUUCUUGGAUUUUAUUGAAGACUAACUACUGCGAAAGCAUUUGCCAAGGAUGUUUUCAUUAAUCAAGAACGAAAGUUAGGGGAUCGAAGACGAUCAGAUACCGUCGUAGUCUUAACCAUAAACUAUG
rnacentral:rRNA from 1 species